rnacentral:lncRNA from 1 species
AUGGGAUAUAGUCACAAUAGUACCCUUACACACCAUAAGAAGAUCCAAUUGAAUAGAAAAAAGAGAGAUCUAAUUUCUAUUACCUCCUAUGACCAGACGGCCUGAUGACAAAUCUGAUUCGAUUACUUCGCUACUCAGAUCAUCUAAUUUAAAUAAUUUAGAUCUAAUUUAAAUUAUUUUAAAUUUAAUUAUUAUAUUUUGAUCAUAUUAAAAUUAGAUAAUAAUUAUCAUAA